CCCGCUGAACUUAAGCAUAUUAGUAAGCGGAGGAAAAGAAACUAACUAGGAUUCCCUUAGUAACGGCGAGUGAACAGGGAAGAGCUCAAACCGAAAAUCCCAGCGGUCACCGCUGUGAAUUGUGGUCUAGAGAAGUAUAGUCAGUGAUGGCCUUGGCUAAAGUCUGUUGGAAAACAGCGGCAGAGAGGGUGAGACUCCCGUCUUGAGCUAAGAGUCCGUUGCGUACGACUUGCUUUCUAAGAGUCGGGUUGCUUGGGAACGCAGCCUUAAAUGGGUGGUAAAUUCCAUCUAAAGCUAAAUACAUGUGAGAGACCGAUAGCGAACAAGUACCGUGAGGGAAAGGUGAAAAGGACUUUGAAAAGAGAGUCAAGAGUACUUGAAAUUGCUAGUAGUCAAGCGAUAGAGGCUAGUGUGUAGCUAGGCCAUUUUUUCCAUGGGUUGAUGAGUUUUUCGAAACAAGUCGAUGUAUGGGUUCUGUGAGUUUAGCUUUCGUCAGGAUGGGUUUGCUUCGAUCGUUAGGGCUAGACGGAGGGUAAUCUCUCUUGUGAGAUGAGUGCCGCUUAGUCGUAGAUCGCGGUGGACUGAGGAACGAUUCUGACAAGAUGGUCUCUAUUGACCCGUCUUGAAACACGG
rnacentral:rRNA from 1 species